AUUGAACGCUGGCGGCAUGCUUUACACAUGCAAGCCGAACGGUAACAGGGUGCUUGCACCGCUGACGAGUGGCGAACGGGUGAGUAAUACAUCGGAAUGUACCCAGUAAUGGGGGAUAACGCUUCGAAAGGAGUGCUAAUACCGCAUACGCCCUGAGGGGGAAAGUGGGGGACCGCAAGGCCUCACGUUAUUGGAGCAGCCGAUGGCUGAUUAGCUAGUUGGUGAGGUAAAGGCUCACCAAGGCGACGAUCAGUAGCGGGUCUUAGAGGACGAUCCGCCACACUGGAACUGAGACACGGUCCAGACUCCUACAGGAGGCAGCAGUGGGGAAUCUUGGACAAUGGGCGAAAGCCUGAUCCAGCAAUGCCGCGUGCGUGAAGAAGGCCUUCGGGUUGUAAAGCGCUUUUGUCUGGGAGCAAAUCCUGGCCUCUAAUACAGGUCGGGGAUGAGAGUACCAGAAGAAUAAGGACCGGCUAACUACGUGCCAGCCGCCGCGGUAAAAC
rnacentral:rRNA from 1 species